AACGAACGCUGGCGGCAUGCCUAACACAUGCAAGUCGAACGAGACCUUCGGGUCUAGUGGCGCACGGGUGCGUAACGCGUGGGAACCUGCCCUUAGGUUCGGAAUAACUCCCCGAAAGGGGUGCUAAUACCGGAUAAUGUCUUCGGACCAAAGAUUUAUCGCCUUUGGAUGGGCCCGCGUUGGAUUAGCUAGUUGGUAGGGUAAAAGCCUACCAAGGCGACGAUCCAUAGCUGGUCUGAGAGGAUGAUCAGCCACACUGGGACUGAGACACGGCCCAGACUCCUACGGGAGGCAGCAGUGGGGAAUAUUGGACACUGGGCGAAAGCCUGACCCAGCAAUGCCGCGUGAGUGAUGAAGGCCUUAGGGUUGUAAAGCUCUUUUACCCGGGAUGAUAAUGACAGCACCGGGAGAAUAAGCUCCGGCUAACUCCGUG
rnacentral:rRNA from 1 species